rnacentral:rRNA from 1 species
UGGGGAAUAUUGCGCAAUGGGCGAAAGCCUGACGCAGCGACGCCGCGUGAGGGAUGAAGGUUUUCGGAUCGUAAACCUCUGUCAGAAGGGAAGAAACCGCACUGUGCUAAUCAGCAGUGCCUUGACGGUACCUUCAAAGGAAGCACCGGCUAACUCCGUGCCAGCAGCCGCGGUAAUACGGAGGGUGCAAGCGUUAAUCGGAAUUACUGGGCGUAAAGCGCACGUAGGCUGCUUUGUAAGUCAGGGGUGAAAUCCCACGGCUCAACCGUGGAACUGUCGUUGAUACUGCUUAGCUUGAAUCCGGGAGAGGGUGGCGGAAUUCCAGGUGUAGGAGUGAAAUCCGUAGAUAUCUGGAGGAACAUCAGUGGCGAAGGCGGCCACCUGGACCGGUAUUGACGCUGAGGUGCGAAAGCGUGGGGAGCAAACAGG